rnacentral:rRNA from 1 species
CCUACGGGAGGCAGCAGUAGGGAAUCUUUCACAAUGGGCGAAAGCCUGAUGGAGCAACGCCGCGUGCAGGAUGAAGGCCUUCGGGUUGUAAACUGCUUUUAUAAGCGAGAAAUAUGAUGGUAACUUAUGAAUAAGGAUCGGCUAACUACAUGCCAGCAGCCGCGGUCAUACGUAGGAUCCGGGAAUUAUACGGAGUGACUGGGUGUAAAGAGUUGCGUAGGUGGCAUAAUAAGUAGCUAGUGAAAUCUGGUGGCUUAACCAUUCAGACUAUUAGCUAAACUGUUAAGCUCGAGACCGUUAGGGGUAACUGGAAUUUCUAGUGUAGGAGUGAAAUCCGUAGAUAUGAGAAGGAACACCAAUAGCGUAGGCAGGUUGCUGGGACGGUUCUGACACUAAGGCACGAAAGCGUAGGGAGCAAACGGGAUUAGAUACCCUAGUAGUC